AUGAGUUUCAAUGGGGCGCCAACACCUGCCAGGUUCUGUGAGAUGCUGAGGCUACGAAGAUCAAGGUAUUUGGCUGCUGUUGGACUCAAGGUUCCCAAAUGCAGUGACUGGUUGUGUUUGUUGGACAUGGGAAUUCACCCCUACAUGAGACUCAGAGGGAUACAGUUUAUGAGAAAUUCCUCUGAUAAAAGUCAAGGCUCCUUCAAGUUCUGGAGGUCUUCUUAUCGCAAACGUGAAGUGAUGCUUUCUGAUCAGUUAAUCCAAAGACACAAGCCUAGGCUUGGCACCCCACCCAAAUCCCACAGUGUGAGGAGAGGCUGUUCAUGCCAGAGCUGGAGGAACAAGUGCCAAAGCAGCAGCAACAGCCAGCGCCUGCAACAGAAAACACAGGAAAAAACUCGGGCGCUCUCUCAAACAAGUUUUCAUUAGAUUCCCUGUCGGAUUUCCUUUCAGGACUGGCUGGUUUCUUUUAGCUCUUGAGCACAUAAAAUUGUUAGUGCUGAAGUUUGGAAUGUGUUGUGAUCAUUUCAUUUCACUGAGGACAUUAUAUAAGAUCUACAUCACUUUUAAGACAAGAAGUUUGGAGCCUGGUACCUCCUCCAGUGCAUCUCAGUAACCAUGCGAAGGAGUUUCCUGGUAGCGUAGUGGGUUAUGGGUCCAACAUUGUCUUUGCCUUGGCGAGGGUUCAGUCCCUGGCCCCGGAAUUUCCGCGUGUUGUGUGCAAGGCCGGAAAAAAAAAAAAUGACCACAUGAAGAUGAGGAGAUGCACAGCUAAGACUUGGACUGCGUGGAAAAGCACUUAAUUAUCCAGUUUCUGUGCCAGUCCAGGGUUUCCGCCGAGGAGGCCAGACAAGAGGAUAAUGGAAAACUACAUGAUGUAUUAUGUUACUCUCACCGAAAUCCCCUAAUUUUAAGGGAAAACAAUCUUCAAAGGAGUCAUAAAGCACAUGAAGAGGCAUCUUAAGGGAUGAUCAUCUAGAUAAAUCACAGCCUUCCUAACAGCUGGAUUUUUGAGUCAAAACUUACGUGAGGGGUACUGUCUCAAAGACGUAUCUAUGUAUUUGCCAAG
rnacentral:lncRNA from 1 species